rnacentral:rRNA from 1 species
AUGUUCAAGAACCAGCUCCAGGAGCUUGCGCAGAGGAGCUGCUUCAACUUGCCGUCCUACGCGUGCAUCCGCGAGGGGCCAGAUCAUGCGCCCCGGUUUAAGGCCACGGUUACUUUUAAUGGGGAAUCGUUUGAGAGCCCAGGGUUCUAUCCCACCUUGCGGCAGGCAGAGCAUGCGGCAGCUGAGGUAGCGCUCAAUGAGUUGUCGAAGAGGGGGCCAUCAUCAUCGCUUGCUGCAAAAGUCCUGGAUGAAACUGGGAUCUACAAGAACCUGCUCCAAGAAACUGCUCAUCGGGCCGGUUUAAAACUGCCUAUGUACACUACUAUUAGAUCUGGACCAGGGCAUACACCAACAUUCACGUGUACAGUGGAGUUAGCAGGAAGGAUCUUCACUGGCAAUCCUGGCAAGACCAAGAAACAAGCCCAAAAAAAUGCUGCUAUGGUGGCCUGGUCUGAAUUGAAGCAGCUGCCUCUAGUAGGUGAGGCAGCAUCUUCAUCUUCUCCGUCCGAUCAUGACGAGGAGCAGGAACAGGUCACAGUUACCCGCACUCUUGAAAACUUGAACCGAAAAAAUGAAGGCAAGGCAUCACAUCAAAAGGAAAAACAGCAAAGCAAUAACCGCCCACAAUCUCGGAGAUCUUAUCCUAAACCAUAUGUGUCAUUUUACGGGUCACACUUACAAAAUCAGAUGUACCCAAAUGUUGCACCAGAGCAAGCAAUGUACCAUAUGUGGAACCAAGUGCAAGCAACACAGCAGAAGCCCCAUCUCCCGAUGGUUCAAGCUAUGGGCAACACAAGGUUUCAACCGCCACCAACUAUGCUCUCCGUGUACCCUCCUCCACCUAGAAGGCAGUUUGCCGUGCCAGCCAGCCAAGAUGCUUUAGCUCUUCUUCCAUGUUUUCCUGAAACUGCUCCUGUCCUUCCUCGGUACUUCUCGCCUUACCCUGCCACCUAUGUACCAAGAAGUCCAUUGCCAGUUACUGUGCACACAAUGAACAGGGAAAGGCAAGGGUAUACUGAGACAGUUGGGCUUCCUGAUGCCGCAGUUUUAUCCGGAUACACUGCUCUAGAUUCCUCUAGUACUCCAGAAAAUGUCGGUCCAAGUCAGGUUGAACAAUGGCCAGAAAGUGGGAAAGAGGCGUAUACAGAGAGUAGUGCUGCCUCCGUGGAAGAGAAUAAAGCUACUCAGACGUCAAGCUCCACAGCACAUCCACUGUCACAGAAGUUGGAACCAAAUCAAGAUGAUAAAGAGUCAAAGAAGCCAGCAGAACAGCCACCAAAGCCAUCAUUGUCUCGUGCUGGAUCAUCUGUUGUACAAAGACCUGUCCAACGACAGGGUUAUCCUAGUCCUGUUCAGCACGGCGAGCCUACCCACAGAAGUAAUCUUCCGUUCAGCAGGGCGACAUCACCAGAGUUAUGGUCGAUGGACAUGCAAGCUCCAGCGAGAUAUGGAGCUGCGGCUCCUAUGAGUUCAUCAGGUUUGUUAUACCAGCAGCGGCCCCCUUGGUUGGCGGCCCCUGUGACAGUCCGAACUUCUAUCCCUGUGUGCUCAGCCAGGCCAAAUGCAGCGGUAAACUCUAGCCCUGGAGCAGCAGCGCGAGCACGGCCUGCUGUUCAGAUCCUCUCCAGGGAGGACCCUGAAGCCCACAGGAACACGAGACACGUGGGCGACGCUUCGACGGCGAGUUCAGAACUCAAUAAGCUCCAUAUGUGA